rnacentral:misc_RNA from 1 species
AUGAAUGGCCAUCUUGUGGCCUUCGACCCUUCAAAACCGUGGAGGUAGAGUGUGCUUCGGCGCUUUGGCGCCGCCUUUAUGCUGUAGAGUCUGUGUCUGAAUCCAAAAUAUAUAGCCUA